CUGUGUCAUGUGCAUAUCAAAUGAGCUUUCAGUGUCUUAACGGUUCAUCAGACUAGCAGGCCCUUGAAAAUGUAAUGAGUGGUGACCGUGCUGCUCCUCCUGAGAAAGGUUACACUGGGAAACUGGGACCCAAAUGAAGAGAAAACAGAUGAGAAGGCCAAGAUGGGAAAACUUGCCC